AAUGAACGCUGGCGGCGUGGAUUAGGCAUGCAAGUCGAACGCGAAAGUUCCCUUCGGGGAGCGAGUAGAGUGGCGAAAGGGUGAGUAAUGCUUGGAUGACCUGCCCUCGAGACGGGGACAACAGUUCGAAAGGACUGCUAAUACCCGAUAGUCCGGUUUAGAUGCGUCUAGAUCGGUAAAUGGUGCUUCCGCUCGAGGAGGGGUUCAAGUCCUAUCAGCUUGUUGGUGAGGUAACGGCUCACCAAGGCGAUGACGGGUAGCCGGACUGAGAGGUUGGCCGGCCACAUGGGAACUGAGACACUGUCCUGACUCCUACGGGAGGCUGCAGUCGAGAAUCUUCUGCAAUGGGCGAAAGCCUGACAGAGCGACGCCGCGUGGAGGAUGAAGGCCCUCGGGUCGUAAAGCACUUUCAAUCGUGAAGAAAAGUUGCAGGCUAAUACCCUGUGACCUUGACGUUAACGAUACAAGAAGCACCGGCUAACUCCGUGCCAGCA
rnacentral:rRNA from 1 species